UACGUAGGGUGCAAGCGUUAAUCGGAAUUACUGGGCGUAAAGCGUGCGCUAGGCGGUUUUGUAAGUCUGUCGUGAAAUCCCCGGGCUCACCUGGGAAAUUGCGAUGGAGACUGCAAGGCUAGAAUCUGGCAGAGGGGGGUAGAAUUCCACGUGUAGCAGUGAAAUGCGUAGAGAUGUGGAGGAACACCGAUGGCGAAGGCAGCCCCC
rnacentral:rRNA from 1 species